CAAUAUUCCUCGUUCAUUUCUUUUUCUUUCUAAACGAAUUCUGAAGUAGUAGAAGUGAUACGCGGGUAUUAUACCCCCUAAUUAGCGAAGCUCUGCCUCGUUGUAAGUAUCAUAACCCCUGGAUACGUAUUAGAUACUCUGCCCGAUUGAUCUAGGGUUCCGUAACGGCUGUCGUGGUUCUGCCCGACGUAGUCGUUGGAAUGCCGUCUCGGGGAGGGUAUUACUAAUGUUAAAAUGGGUUAUUAUACUAACGCGUGUGCAUUGUUUAUUUAAUUAGACUAUAACCAGGGAAUCACAAAGGAAAGCCUUAUAAUAGCAAUGUGAGUGAUCCUUCUUUUUAUAUGCUCAUUUUUGUAACUUAGUGUGAAGCCAAUAUAAGCCAGCUGGAGAGCACGGAAGGCUUGGAAAAGUGGCUAUAAAGUUACCUAAGAUAAAAUAGAUGUUUUUAUUAAAUAAAAAGAGGAUUUAUUCCUAUGAAAACGUGUGUACUGCAAAACUUUGGGUUUUAUCCCAUGUGUUUAAUAUUAUGAAAAUAUGGUGGUUU
rnacentral:lncRNA from 1 species